GUGCUCGCUUCGGCAGCACAUAUACUAGAAUUGGAACAAUACAGAGAAGAUGGAUGACACGCAAAUUCAUGAAGUGUUCCAUAUUAAA
ensembl:snRNA LOC120093310 U6 spliceosomal RNA